UUGGAGGGCAAGUCUGGUGCCAGCAGCCGCGGUAAUUCCAGCUCCAAUAGCGUAUAUUAAAGCUGUUGCAGUUAAAAAGCUCGUAGUUGAAUUUCGGGAUUGACGUGAUGGUCAUGCCUUAAGGGGUAUGAACUGUUGCAGUUGAUUUCUCACCUUCUGGAGAAACUUGAUGUCCUUUAUUGGGUGUCUUGCGGAUCCAGGACCUUUACCUUGAAAAAAUUAGAGUGUUUAAAGCAGGCAUUUUUGCUCGAAUACAUUAGCAUGGAAUAAUAGAAUAGGACGGCAUGGUUCUAUUUUGUUGGUUUCUAGGAUCACCGUAAUGAUUAAUAGGGAUAGUUGGGGGCAUUAGUAUUCAAUUGUCAGAGGUGAAAUUCUUGGAUUUAUUGAAGACUAACUACUGCGAAAGCAUUUGCCAAGGAUGUUUUCAUUAAUCAAGAACGAAAGUUAGGGGAUCGAAGACGAUCAGAUACCGUCGUAGUCUUAACCAUAAACUAUGCCGACUAGGAAUCAGACGAUGUUAAUUUUUUAAUGACUCGUUUGGCACCUUACGGGAAACCAAAGUGUUUGGGUUC
rnacentral:rRNA from 1 species